AGCCUGCUGAGACUUCCCUCCAGAAUCAUCCAAAAUGGAGCCUCUUACAGUUUACCCAUCAAAGUGUUCCGGGCCCAAAGCAAAGGUACUUGCAGUUUUGCUGUCAAUGGUUCUAUGCACAGUAAUGCUGUUUCUUUUACAACUAAAAUUCCUAAAGCCUAAAAUCAACAGCUUUUAUACCUUUGAAGUGAAAGAUGCAAAAGGCAGGCCCGUUUCUCUGGAAAAGUUUAAAGGCAAAGUUUCACUAGUUGUAAACGUGGCUAGUGACUGCCAGCUCACAGACAGAAAUUACUUAGCACUGAAGGAACUGCACAAAGAGUUUGGACCAUCGCACUUCAGCGUAUUGGCUUUUCCAUGCAAUCAGUUUGGAGAAUCGGAGCCCCGCCCCAGCAAAGAAGUAGAAUCUUUUGCAAGAAAAAACUACGGAGUAACAUUCCCCAUCUUCCACAAGAUUAAGAUUCUAGGAUCUGACGCAGAACCUGCAUUUAGAUUUCUUGUUGAUUCUUCAAAGAAGGAACCAAGGUGGAAUUUUUGGAAAUAUCUGGUCAACCCUGAGGGUCAAGUUGUGAAGUUCUGGAGGCCGGAGGAGCCCAUUGAAGCCAUCAGGCCUGACAUAGCAGCUCUGGUUAGACAAAUGAUCAUAAAAAAGAAGGAGGAUCUAUGAGAAUGCCAUUGAGCCAUUCUAUAGCAAUAGAGUAGAAAUGUCUGCAUGAGGGUGUGAUCCUGUUUUAACACCCUACAAUCAAUUGUGGCAAUGAAGGAUGACUUUUUAUGUGUUAUCUUGCUGCUCAGCAGUAAUGAAUGUCCCUAGGAUAAAGAUGUUACCCAAAGAAAAAUAAAGAGUAGCCAAAGAAUCAAAAUGAAAUAUAUGAAAAUUUCAGAGUACCCAGUGAUCAAUGUGCUUCAAUAUCAUAUUGUUCGAUUUGGCAUUUCUAGGAUUAUACUUAUGGAAAAGCAAACACACUAGACCACUGUUUGGAUUCAAAACCAUGGUGUGUAACUGAAAUUUUUAGAGUAAUUAACUGAAAAUGAAUAUGUUGAUGUAAUAAACACAAAAUAAAUGUUGAAAAACUGUAAAAUUUCUAGACAUAAAUUUGAAUCCUUAUAUUUGUUUUGUGUGCGGUAUUGUGUAUAGUUUGGAGUUUAAGUACAAGUUCCUAGUGUGUUCUACUACAUAUGAUGAAAUAGUCAUCUGUAAAUUAUCAUAACAUCUGAAAAAGCUUUCAUCAUUGUCAAUAUUUCUCUCCUCAUUUUUUAAGAGCAACUCGAAUUGCAUAAUUAGGAUAUUAACAGUUAAGUUCAUCUUAAUUUUUUAGUGAACAUUUCAAAUGUAGGAAAAAGGACAAACAUAUAUGAUCUUUUGACUUCAUUUUACAGGUUGAUUUUUUGGUUGCUUAUAUAUUCAGACUAGAUUUGGAAAGAAUUCAAUGCUUCAUCAUUCUGGUAGCUAAAACAGUAAGAAUUAACUCUAGUCAAAACUCUCAUUUUUAUUUUAUUUUAUUUUAUUUUUGGUUUUUGGCCGGGGCUGGGUUUGAACCCGCCACCUCCGGCAUAUGGGACUGGCGCCCUACUCCUUGAGCCACAGGUGCCGCCCAAAACUCUCAUUUUUAAAAGGAGGUGAUUAUGAUCACACAGUCCUAAAAUGUGGAUCAGCAAUCACAAACCUUUUGGGAGAUUCACUUUUUUUCUCUCAAAGUCAUGGCUUUUAUAUUUUGUCAGCCUUUGAAUUAUUAACUAACAAAGCAAUUUGCCAAGUUGGUGAAGGUUCAUUUGAUUCCUGCUCUAUGAAACAGACGGGACGAAAAAAUACGUGAAAAUACGGUCAUGUAAAAUUUGGCUAAGAAAGAAGACUUAAAUAGCCUGUCACUUGACUCCCAAAGUCUGACCUGAUGAAUGACAAAGUCAAUGGUGCUAUAUAAAAUAACAUGUUGAAAUUUAACCUUUAAAGAAAGAUGAAAACAACAUUUACAUAGAAGGGAUACUUAAGCACAAAGGUCCUGAAAAUGAAAUAAUACCUGGGCAACAACAAAAAAAGCAUGAGAUUGGAAAGUAGCAAAAUGCAUAAGCAUCAAAAUACAGGGUGUAACUAAUGGACCAGACCACCACAGUCAGUUCCACUAACUGGCUACAGAUGUCCACAUGAGCACACUACAUGCCUGGGAGCCAGGACAUAGCAGAUGCUGCUCCAGAGGUCAAAGCCUCCAAAGGAAAGAGAAAAUGUUUUGUAUCAUACUGUAUAGUCAGUCCUUCCCACUUCACAAGUUAGAACUCAUGCUCUUUUCUAAACCUUUUAUGAGCCUGUAAUUCUACAGAAGAUGAAGUGAAGAACUGAGACCAAUCUUCCAAACAAUUCAACCCAUCCCCCACUGAAAAAUCCCAAAUUUCUUGAUAUUUCAAGUGAAAAAAUUUUAGUUGAUUGAAUGAUCUGAAAAAUUACCUCAAGUCUCCCUUCCGCUGGCAUGGAUCUCGUACAUAAGGUCAUGGCUUACAGAGAUUUAGUCUAAUGCUACAUUAAGAAACCGUGGCCCAAACAUUUAGUUGAAAAUCUGGGGAAUUUGAGGCUCUCCACUCCAAAUUAUCACUAUAUUUUAAAUUUUAUAUUUAAAAAUAUAUAUGCAUAUGUUCACAUAUACUUUACCACUCUAACACUCCAAAAAUACUACUUAAAAUUUUUUAGGCAAUUAAUCAUAGUACUUUCUUAACCAUUAAAAAGCUUAAUAGUUGAAAAACUGAACAUCAAUAAUAACUUAUGGCAAACAGUAUGCUGCUUCAUAGCAAACACACACACACAUAAAUUACAGAUUUAGUUACACUCUGAUGUUCAUUGUAUAUGCAAUAAGAUAGCAGUUGCAUGUUAGCUGAUGCCAUUCACAUAUUCAACCAGCUAACAAUACACUGCCAACCCAUCACACACAGAUAACCAAUGUAUUUCCUUAACAAGAGGAAUUUAUCCAGAAGCAAGUGGCAGGGUAGUUAUGGCUGCUGAUUUGAUGCAAAGCAGCCAGCUAACAAUACACUGCCUACCUGAUUCGGAUCAUUGCCAAUUUUCAUGGCUCAUGAAGUCACUCACACUGAAUUUGUAACAUGACACACAGUAGCAGAACUUUAAUCUUAAUAGUCACAUUAAAGAAAAUGUAUAGGCAAAACUUGUUACUCUAAAAGUAUAAGAAAUAAAAUCAACAUUCUCUUCAAUCUAGCCAAAAACUUAAAAAGAGCCUUUCAGAAUAUUUACACUUAGGUUUUCUAGAUUAAAAGCUUGGAUAAUGAAGAUAUGUUAUUAUAGUACAAAUGAAUUUUUCAAUUACUUAACUAAAGCUCUUCAAAUUGCUUCUGUUUACUGACUAAAAGACCAGUUGUCACUAUUAGGCAAUAAAAUAUCUAGAAAUCAAUAUAACACAUAAAUUGAUCGUGAUACAACGAUGUCUGUGGUGGGGGGAG